CACGUAGGGGGCAAGCGUUGUCCGGAAUUAUUGGGCGUAAAGCGCGUGUAGGCGGUCCGGUAAGUCGGUUGUGAAAGCCCAGGGCUCAACCCUGGGAUGCCGACCGAUACUGUCGGGCUAGAGUUCGGAAGAGGCGAGUGGAAUUCCCGGUGUAGCGGUGAAAUGCGCAGAUAUCGGGAGGAACACCAAUGGCGAAGGCAGCUCGCUGGGACGUUACUGACGCUGAGACGCGAAAGCGUGGGGAGCAAACAGG
rnacentral:rRNA from 1 species